AGCUGGUCAGAGCGUGGGAUUCAUAACCCCAAGGUCGGGAGUUCAAGUCUCCCCCGAGCCA
rnacentral:tRNA from 1 species